rnacentral:ncRNA from 1 species
ACGAUUCUCUGGAGAGUCUCUACGGAGCGCCGAAGGUGUACGCUGUGAUCCGGUUCCGAACCGGACCGGACGCGGUAAUCUCUCAGGCAAAAGGACAGAGUGAG